rnacentral:rRNA from 1 species
UACGUAGGGUGCAAGCGUUAAUCGGAAUUACUGGGCGUAAAGCGUGCGCAGGCGGUUUUGUAAGUCUGUCGUGAAAUCCCCGGGCUUAACCUGGGAACUGCAUUGGUGACUGGCAGGCUUUGAGUGUGGCAGAGGGAGGUAGAAUUCCACGUGUAGCAGUGAAAUGCGUAGAGAUGUGGAGGAAUACCGAUGGCGAAGGCAGCCUCCUGGGCCAACGCUGACGCUCAUGCACGAAAGCGUGGGGAGCAAACAGG